rnacentral:rRNA from 1 species
GAUGAACGCUGGCGGCGUGCCUAAUACAUGCAAGUCGAGCGAACGGACGAGAAGCUUGCUUUUCUGAUGUUAGCGGCGGACGGGUGAGUAACACGUGGAUAACCUACCUAUAAGACUGGGAUAACUUCGGGAAACCGGAGCUAAUACCGGAUAAUAUUUUGAACCGCAUGGUUCAAAAGUGAAAGACGGUCUUGCUGUCACUUAUAGAUGGAUCCGCGCUGCAUUAGCUAGUUGGUAAGGUAACGGCUUACCAAGGCAACGAUGCAUAGCCGACCUGAGAGGGUGAGCGGCCACACUGGAACUGAGACACGGUCAAGACUCCUAGGGGAGGAAGAAGUAGGGAAUCUUCCGCAAGGGGCGAAAGCCUGACGGAGAAACGCCGCGUGAGUGAUGAAGGUCUUCGGAUCGUAAAACUCUGUUAUUAGGGAAGAACAUAUGUGUAAGUAACUGUGCACAUCUGGACGGUACCUAAGCAGAAAGCCACGGCUAACUACGU